AGGACGAACGCUGGCGGCGUGCUUAACACAUGCAAGUCGAGCGGUAAGGCCUUUCGGGGUACACGAGCGGCGAACGGGUGAGUAACACGUGGGUGAUCUGCCCUGCACUUCGGGAUAAGCCUGGGAAACUGGGUCUAAUACCGGAUAUGACCUCAGGUUGCAUGACUUGGGGUGGAAAGAUUUAUCGGUGCAGGAUGGGCCCGCGGCCUAUCAGCUUGUUGGUGGGGUAAUGGCCUACCAAGGCGACGACGGGUAGCCGACCUGAGAGGGUGACCGGCCACACUGGGACUGAGACACGGCCCAGACUCCUACGGGAGGCAGCAGUGGGAAUAUUGCACAAUGGGCGAAAGCCUGAUGCAGCGACGCCGCGUGAGGAUGACGGCCUUCGGGUUGUAAACCGUCUUCGGCAGGGACGAAGCGCAAGUGACGGUACCUGCAGAAGAAGCCGAACCGGCUAACUACGUGCCAGCAGCCGAC
rnacentral:rRNA from 1 species